rnacentral:lncRNA from 1 species
GAGCAAGGCCGUCGAUGGAAAAACAGCCUUCGUCGAGCUUCCUUAUUCGUCCGCUUUGUAGGGGCUUCCCUGUUUGCCUAUAGCUUCCCUUUCACAACCAUCGCCUAAGCUAGUGAGAUUGAAUGUACCUAUGAUGAGGCCGCCAGUGGAGAAGCGGAGCAGUGGCCACUACGAGAGGGAGGGCAGAGCAUCGAGAUGGUGUGCGGCAGGUAGUGGAGGGAGGAGGAGCACGUCGUUGGAGGUGACGUCGGCGGCAACUGACGAGCGUGAUGCCUUGGCGAUUGCGAGUCGAGGGAAGGCAUCGAAGCAUCAGAGGGGAGGUGAGGGUAGUAGCCCAGUGUGCAAAAAAAAAUGUAUGUACGAUGGUUACUAGAAGCUCUCCGUGACCACCACAACUCCACUGACAGCAUCGGCCUCGGCUUUGAGCUUGCUGAAGAGAAUUUGGACCCAGCAAUGGAUUGGAGCGAAGAGCUUGAGGCAAAAGGGGUGGAUGAUCUCAAAAUUGAAGUUGCGAUAGAGGAG